AGGGUGCUUGUACUGCCUUCCAAAGUGAAGAGGAGAUGAACAUGGCUUUGCAUAGCUGUUGUUCUAUGCCAACUUACCUACUCUUGCUGGUACCGUAGUGCUAUAUUGCAAAUUUCGUGGACGAACAACUCUAGUCACUAGUGGCUAGUGAGCAACACUAACAGAGCCUUGACGUUGCUGGACGAGCGACAAUAUAAAUUACAUAAACAUGUAGCUCGUGAUGUGGGAUGACUGCCGUAUCGCAUUGCCAACGCAAACCCAUCCUGUGUCAGUGCAGCCAUCCAGCAACUUGAACUCCCCGGACCAGAUGCCGCUGCAGCUGAACACCAUGCCGAUGGAAAGCCAGGAGUUGAUAGCGAAGCAUUCUGGUCUGCACAGUACAAGGCAAAGAACAAUUAUGAAUUAUAAUGCAUUGUAAUCUUUCCCACACUUCUUUGUAAAAACAAACAAACAGUGCCAUUAUCACAACACUUGAUCAAGCAUCUUGAUGGAGGUAUUUUCCAUUGUGCUGGCUCAGCAUCUGCACCAGGAAGACCAUGUACACUUA